GGGGCUAUAGCUCAGUCGGUUAGAGCGCAGCACUGAUAAUGCUGAGGUCCGUGGUUCAAGUCCACGUAGCCCCACCA
rnacentral:tRNA from 1 species